CGUCCCCUGCCUCUGCUUGCCUGGGUAGUGCAGGUGGAGGUAGUUGCGUAAUUACUUAAUUGCCUGAUUGCUUCCACCUGCCUGUGGCCCAAUAUAAAGCCCAGUAGUAUGAGGCAGGGGAGAGUUUUAUUUUGGGGCUUGUGGUUUGUGUGGAGAUCUUUUGGUUUUGUGAUCUUUGUGUUUUCGUUUGUUUUAGUUUGUCCCUUUGUUUGUUAUUUAGAUUAAUAAAUGUCUGGGUUUGUUUUUAGAUCAGUUUCUGUCGUGUUUUGAUCCAUCCGGACUUUGUUUGUUGCGGCCAGUCGAGCCAGCCGUAACAAAAUGGGGGCUCGUCCGGGAUCUGCCAUCACACUUCCCUGCGGCGGCGAGGAGGCUGCGCGCAGACACACACUUCCCUGCGGCGUCGAGGACGACGCGCGCAGACACACACUUCCCUGCGGCGUCGAGGACGACGCGCGCAGACACACACUUCCCUGCGGCGUCGAGGACGACGCGCGCAGACACACACUUCCCUGCGGCGGCGAGGAGGCUGCGCGCAGACACACAGGUCCCUGCGGCGUCGAGGACGACGCGCGCAGACACACAGGUCCCUGCGGCGUCGAGGACGACGCGCGCAGACACACAGUACCCUGCGGCGUCGAGGACGACGCGCGCAGACACACAGGUCCCUGCGGCGUCGAGGACGACGCGCGCAGACACACAGGUCCCUGCGGCGUCGAGGACGACGCGCGCAGACACACAGGACCCUGCGGCGGCGAGGAGGCUGCGCGCAGACACACACUUCCCUACAGUGGCAGAUUUCUCUAGACAAUUUGUGGACAUUUGGUAUUUAUUUUUUGUGUUACCUUUAGUUUUUGUCUUUUUUUUGUCUUAAGGGUGGGGGUGUUACGUCCCCUGCCUCUGCUUGCCUGGGUAGUGCAGGUGGAGGUAGUUGCGUAAUUACUUAAUUGCCUGAUUGCUUCCACCUGCCUGUGGCCCAAUAUAAAGCCCAGUAGUAUGAGGCAGGGGAGAGUUUUAUUUUGGGGCUUGUGGUUUGUGUGGAGAUCUUUUGGUUUUGUGAUCUUUGUGUUUUCGUUUGUUUUAGUUUGUCCCUUUGUUUGUUAUUUAGAUUAAUAAAUGUCUGGGUUUGUUUUUA